rnacentral:rRNA from 1 species
AGUAGGGCGGGACACGUGUUAUCCUGUCUGAAUAUGGGGGGACCAUCCUCCAAGGCUAAAUACUCCUGACUGACCGAUAGUGAACCAGUACCGUGAGGGAAAGGCGAAAAGAACCCCUGUGAGGGGAGUGAAAUAGAACCUGAAACCGUGUACGUACAAGCAGUAGGAGCACCUUCGUGGUGUGACUGCGUACCUUUUGUAUAAUGGGUCAGCGACUUAUAUUCAGUGGCAAGGUUAACCAUCUAGGGGAGCCGUAGGGAAACCGAGUCUUAACUGGGCGCCAUAGUCUCUGGAUAUAGACCCGAAACCGAGUGAUCUAGCCAUGGGCAGGUUGAAGGUUGAGUAACAUCAACUGGAGGACCGAACCGACUAAUGUUGAAAAAUUAGCGGAUGACUUGUGGCUAGGGGUGAAAGGCCAAUCAAACUCGGAGAUAGCUGGUUCUCCCCGAAAGCUAUUUAGGUAGCGCCUCGGACGAAUACUACUGGGGGUAGAGCACUGUUAAGGCUAGGGGGUCAUCCCGACUUACCAACCCUUUGCAAACUCCGAAUACCAGUAAGUACUAUCCGGGAGACACACGGCGGGUGCUAACGUCCGUCGUGGAGAGGGAAACAACCCAGACCGCCAGCUAAGGUCCCAAAUUACAGCUAAGUGGGAAACGAUGUGGGAAGGCUUAGACAGCUAGGAUGUUGGCUUAGAAGCAGCCAUCAUUUAAAGAAAGCGUAAUAGCUCACUAGUCGAGUCGGCCUGCGCGGAAGAUGUAACGGGGCUAAGUUGUAAACCGAAGCUGCGGCAAUGUUCUUUGAACAUUGGGUAGGGGAGCGUUCUGUAAGCCGUUGAAGGUGUGUUGUAAAGCAUGCUGGAGGUAUCAGAAGUGCGAAUGCUGACAUGAGUAACGACAAGGGGGGUGAAAAACCUCCCCGCCGGAAGACCAAGGGUUCCUGUCCAACGUUAAUCGGGGCAGGGUAAGUCGACCCCUAAGGCGAGGCCGAAAGGCGUAGUCGAUGGGAAACGGGUUAAUAU